CGAGGGUUGGAACUGGAGUCAUUAAGUCUUUCAAACAACAAGGACUUUCUCCAGAAUACCUACUUGAUAAACCUUCUUGACUGACUGUGCCUAUUUGUAAUCUCUGCUCACAACUGGGUCCUUGACAAAACCUACUAUAAACUUCUCAACCAUCAAUUAUACAUAAAAAAUGUGGGUGAAAUGAUGGAGAAGAAUUCAACAAAUAGCAUUGCUCAUAAUGGAGAGAAGAUUCUACCUUCUACAAUAUGUAAUUUGAUGAAAUAUGCUAAGCAAGGUUGGGAGAAAAUGGAACCAUUAUUUGUUGUCCAAGCUCCUGGAUCACACGCUACCACUUGCUUAUCUCACUGGGAUCACGUUUUUCCUGUGGCAUGCCCCUCUGUUCAUCUACCUCUCUGCCUCGCCCAUGGUUUGCUGAAUGCUCCCGGUGAGCCUGGUAUCCUGAAGGACCUUCGUAUCCGCUGUGGUUGGGUUCUCUCAGCUUUCUGCUUGGCCUUGGGCAAAGCCACGGUACGCUCCAACUCUUCAGCUCUGGCCCGAAUGCCUUGAGCUUGAAUACAAAUAACCUUGGAGUGGGAAGCUUUUCUACUCAACCACGGACAUAGCUGAACAGAUUUUGCUUUACUGAAAUGAAGUGGAGCCUGAAUUUAUCUGGAAAUGUGUGGAAUCAGCAGAGAGCAGUAAACAAAAGUCUAGGGAAGUGGGAAACCAUUGUGAAUGAUUCUGUGUUUUCCACUCCCAGCGGGCAUUUGGGCAUUAUUGUAAAGAACCAUGUUUUCAAACCUGCCAAUAACAGAACAGAUCUUUAUUCAUUGUGGAUGAGGCUUCCACUGGGAGAGUUGAAACUCUCGUUCCUUUUUCGCCAACUAGAGAAGCUCUUCAGAGUUCCAAGCUUCUGUUUUCUGACUUCCAUGCCAUAAAGGGAGAUGUUAGAUAUAUUUCCCAUAGGAUAACCUCAGGGCUUUCUGGGGGAAGUCGGACAGUUUCUAUGGUGGCACAGAACGACAGUUCACCAGAGAAACAAUCUCAAGGAAAGGGCAAAUAUAUGCAUUCUGUCCAUUUGUCUUUCCUCUGUGUGUAUUGUUGCAAACAAUAGAAUCCACUCAAGUAAGUUUAGGCAGAAAAGGGAUUUAAUAAGGGAAAUGGGUAGCUCGUAGAAUCACUGUAGUGGGGGGCGGAUUGCUGUAGAAACAGAUUUGAGGCUAAGUUUCCAGAAACAUGUCCCACAUCAAAUCACAAAAC